UAAGAUUGUGCCUGCACAGGAUAUUUCAUAAGUGAUAGAUGCCUGCUUUACAGAUACAGAAACUGAGGUUCGAUGAGAUCACAUCCUUUGCCGAUAACCCACAGCUCUGGAGCUGAGACUGGUCGCUGGGCAGUGGUGUGCCGGCAAAUGUCUUAAACCUGGCUCUCCAGGGGAGGGGCAGGGCCCGGUUGCAUUUGCUGAAGUCCAUGGUGUAAAUACUUCCACCGUGUCUGAUUUCAAGUCACCAAGAUGACCUCACUGAAUGCGAGGUUCGGAAGGAUGCGUCCCUAGGCUCUGGAAGGAAGCCAGUGUCAGCCAAAUCAGGACCCACUGCCCGGCUACUUCGUAUUCCUUGAUUUUCUUCACUCCGCACUUUGAGUGAAAUAAGUCCUUCUUCGCUUUCCCCUCUAAAUCCCAACUACUUCACUCCACACUGAAUACAUCAGGUGAAAUAACUCCUUCACUUUCCCCCUUCAAAUCCUAUCUCAUACUGAAGAAAACAAUCCGAGCCAAGUCUCUGCACGCCUCUGGGCCUCAGUUUCCCCGUCCAUAGGACGGGAUGACUUCUAAACCCCGGCUCUCCCGCAUCAUCCUUGCCUGAAGUCUGGGAGCGCCGGUCUUGCGCAGUGCCCCUAUCGACCACCAGGGGACAGUCUUUCCCCACCAAAGACGCUGGCCUCUCCAAGUCCCCGUCGGUGUCCUUGGACACAGCCUGGGUAUUGCGGGCCCUGCCUGGCUUAUGAAUCAGCGAUUGUGCCCAGCCCCGAGCGGGCAUUUGCAGAAAGGGCCCAUUGUUUGCAGUGAGGCCUUUUGUUCCAGCAGUGGCCUGGGGAAACUGGGAUUGGGCUGGGGGCCUGAUUGGUUCCCAGGGGCCCCUGGUGGGUGUUGGGGUGUGGACCCAGGCGGACCCCUCUCCGCUCUCCCCGCUGCCCGCCCCAAUCCCAUCUACCAGGCUGCUGUGCUGGGCACUGCUCACCUAUGCCUCAGCUCUGUCCGGGGUUCUCGCCCCUGCAGACCUCCUCUGCCACCCUCUGAGGCCCGGAGCACGUGUUCCCUCCUCCAGGCCAGGGUUCCUGUUACUUCCUUCAGCUUCAUUCAAUCCAACUGCACUUUAAGAGGGGUCACCCAGGGUUCCACGGCCUCCCUGAUCACGAAAGGGGAAUCGCUGCAGCUCCUGGCAGUGGGCAUGGUCUGCUCUGAGGCUCCAGGGCUUCCAACACCUGAAAAUUGCCUUUCAAGGUGGCCAACAGCCUGGUGGUUUCAUCUACAGCACUUACCUGGUUCAGUGGAGAAGCUGGUUCUCUAUGGUCAUCCAUCUACAAGGACUGCACCUCGCUCGAAGGGACUGUAAGGAAGGCCCCCAGCUUCCUCAUACAACUGUGACUGUCCUGGUCUUCAUUCAUUGACCCAACCAAAGCUGAGACCUUCCAUAAUCAGAGAGCAGGCUCAUGGUCACCUGUAGAUCCUGGAAAGCUUCAAGGGACAAACAUGGUGGCAAAUGUGGGGAAUCUUCAAGAGAGGACCACACUGAGAAGGGGACAUGCAGCUGUGACUGCAGAUUUGCCUUGCCAUGGGAUGAAGACACAUGCAGUGUGGGGACUUUUUAAAAAUCCGAGAGUCAAGAGGGCAGUGUGACUUUGGGUUCAGACAGCCAUUUGAUGUGGGCUCAGCCACCAUUCACCAGCUGUGUGACAUGGCCAAGUCAGUCAUGGAAAUGGGAGCAUGAGACCACCUACCUCCUACAGGAAGUGGGAGACCUUGAGGGCACAAUGGGCACACAGCUCUGGGCACAGAUAAGGCAGCCGUGGAACGUUCAAUGUUACCAUUGCCAACCAAAGAGGCGGCAAAAAGAAGCCAUGGAAACCCAGGAGGACUCCUGAGAAUGUUUCUGUCCUCUUGGGAAACAGGGCAGUGUGUUUUGUAGACCUGUGCUCCUUCCUGAACUCUGUUUCUGCCCUUGUCCCUGGAUUAACUCUCCGUCCAGCAGCCAGAAUGACCUUUAGGAAGCCAAGUCAGCUCACGCCACCCUUGUGGUCAAAACCUCCCAGUGACCUCCCAAUGUCAAGGCACUUAGAAUAACAUUCCCAUUCCUUCUGAUGGCCUGUACAACAGCCCCGUCACUCUCCACUUCCUCUGCUCCCCAUCCCUUGCUCACCUGGCUGCAGGCCAGGGCUCCUUGCUCCUCCCUGAAACUGCCAAGCUCAUUCUUUCCCUCUGCAUGGCUUUUGCCCGGCUGAUCCCCCCCACCCCUGCCCGGCAUGCUGUCCCCUCAGAACAUGGCAUGGCUCACUCUUGUACAUCCUUCCAGUCUCUGCUCGAACAUCACUUUUGGGACAAGUCUUGUCUAACCCCAGCCCUGCCAUGACCUCGAAUCCCAUCCAGCUUAGCUUCAAUCACAAUGUUUCACUUUCAGAAAUGAUACGUCUAUAGUCAAUUGUUUGAACGAUUUUUAAAUAUGGCAGGUUAUUUCUCUUGUUCCCUAGUGCUAGGAUGAUGCCUGCCACACAGGAGGCUGAGGGCUGGACACACGAAUCCAUAAUAUGAGGCUUAUAGGUUCUUUGAAGGCUCAAAGGGCUACCUCAUUUAACCCUCACAGGGAUCCUCUAAUACAGACAGAAUAGUAGCCCCAUUCUACAGAUGAGGACAGCAAGGCUUAGGAGCUGACACAACUUGCCCAGACCACACAACCAGUGGAUCCGAGACAAGAACCUGGUCCCCUGGUUCGGGCUCAGUGUUCUGCCCAGUGCCUCCUGGGUGUGUCUGCCUGUGUGAGGAAAGUCUGACGGCUGCCAGAGCCAACCCACCUCCAGGGCCCAAGGCCAGGUGCACUCCCAGGGUUGCCCACUCCAAACAAAGGGAGAUUUUGGGUGCCGGUUGUUUCAGGACCCUGGGAAUCACAAGAGCAGUUGUUGUAGACGAUGCACCAGGCAAUCCCAGUGAACACAUUAUAUGGGGAUUGUCAUGGUCACAGGGAGUCACACCAUUUACAUGCUAAUGACAGAGUCAGUGCAGGAGACCCAGGUCGGAGCGGGAUGGUACCCACACUUUGUCUUAUGGCCAUUUCCAUUUUCACAAAUUCUGAAACUAAAACAGGACUUUUCUCUUACUUGGAGCAGAUGUUAAUUUGCAAUGCAGAAGCCUCCAUUUGUUGAUGAUUUUCCAUUAUCCCUAUAAUUGCCCCCACAUACAAUGCUCGAUAAAGUUUUAAACCUGUCCUCUGGGAACACCAGGUCAAUAACGGGAUCAUUGAUUAGGCUGUGAAAAUGGUCUCCUGGCAUUAGGAAGAUUCACUGUGGAAUCCUGGGACUGGGGUCCUGAAGUGGCUGCUUUUGUCCCGUGCCUUGGGUCUCCCUGGAUCUGCAGAUUAGGAAGGGGCCAAGGCAAUCAGAGGCCAUGUUUUUACUGCAGAGGAGCCUGGGAGGCAAUUGGACACCAGAAGGCUUUUCCAAGCAUCUGUAGCCACCGCCCCCCAAAAAAGUGCUUUGGUGGCCCUGGAGUUGGUCACUGUAGUUUAUGAGUGGCAAAGACACCCUCUGGUUUCUAGCUGUGUGACCUUGGGCAACUCACCUACCGUCUCUAAGCCUCAGGUUCCUUGUGUGUAUGAUAAAGGAAAGAAUAACGCCUUUGCCUAACUCCCAAGGGGGUUGGGAGAAAGAAAGGAAAGAAAUCAAAGAUGUGCUAAACGCAUUUGCAGACUCUCAUGCCCAUUCUAUGCUACCUGAUACAGUUAGCUCUUUGAAACUCCAAGUGAACUUUCCC
rnacentral:lncRNA from 1 species